ACGGAAGGCAGCAGUGGGGAAUAUUGCACAAUGGGGGAAACCCUGAUGCAGCGACGCCGCGUGAGUGAUGAAGUAUUUCGGUACGUAAAACUCUAUCAGCAGGGAAGAUAAUGACGGUACCUGACUAAGAAGCCCCGGCUAACUACGUGCCAGCAGCCGCGGUAAUACGUAGGGGGCAAGCGUUAUCCGGAUUUACUGGGUGUAAAGGGAGUGUAGGUGGCCUGGCAAGCCAGAUGUGAAAGCCCGCAGCUCAACUGCGGGACUGCAUUUGGAACUGUUAGGCUUGAGUGCAGGAGAGGAAAGUGGAAUUCCUAGUGUAGCGGUGAAAUGCGUAGAUAUUAGGAGGAACACCAGUGGCGAAGGCGGCUUACUGGACUGUAACUGACACUGAGGCUCGAAAGCGUGGGGAGCAAACAGGAUUAGAUCCCCUGGUA
rnacentral:rRNA from 1 species